UUAUCAUCCUUAUUUUACGGAUAAGAAAACUCAGGGAAAUUAAGCAACUUCUUGGAGGUCACAAUCUCACUUCCUGAUGGAUCCCAAAUCCUAGAGACAAUUAGUUUAGAGAGCUAGGAUUAACAGAAUUCCACUUACAGGGCCAGGUCCUCAAUUUUUGCAGUAAUUUAGUCGCUAUGGCAUAUUCUCAAGAAGCUAUUGGAGAUAGGCUCCAUAAAACAAGAAAGAGGAAGACAGAGAAUCCAGGAAACUGGGCAUCAACUCAGGAGAGACAGGAAGGAGGCAACCAGGAUGACAACUUCAAAGCAAGUCAAAGAGCAGCAAGCUCAGAUUGAGACAGCAAAAUGGUUGAGCAGAUACCUCACCAAAGAACAUUUUCACACCAGUUGCAAGACUGAGCUUGGAACCAGGAACAAGAUUAUUACUCUUUGCUAAUCUUGGCCAGGAUCUGCAGGAGGGUACCUCAAAGAAGAGGUGAGAUUGUGGAAAAGGUGAAGUGAGUUCAGUCAUUGAAGAAAGAAGUUUUUCUGGCUCCAAAAUAUGGCAACUCUACUGUAACAAAUACUAAAAAUAUGGAAGUCGUUUGGAGUUGGGUAAUGGAUAGAGGCUGGAGGAAUUUUGAAGAACGUGAUAGAAAAUGCCUAGAUUGCUUUGAACAGACUGUUAGUAGAAAUAUGGGUGUUAAAGACUGCUGGUGAGGUCUCAGAAGGCAGUGAAGAGCAUGGUAAGGAAAACCUACACAAUCUUAAAGAAUACCUAAAUCAUAAGCAAACUGUAGAAAAACAGAUGUUAAAAGCAAUGCUGGUGAGGAUUCAGAAGGAAAUAAAGAACGUAUUUUUGGAAACUGGAGGAAAGGGGGAUAUGCAUAAAGGUAGAAAGCUUAGAUGAAUUGUCCUAUAAUUAAAUAGAAAAUAGAACUUGUAAGCAAUAACCAUGGAUAUUUAGUUGAAAUUUCCAAGCAAAGUAUUGAAGGUGUGACCUGGGUUCGUCUUGUUGCUUUCAGUAAAAUGUGAAAGAGAUAAAAUGAGAGAACUGCUACAAAAAGAAACCAGAAUUUGAUGAUUUGGGAAUUUCUCAGCCUAUCCAGAUUGCAGAAGAUGCUAAAGCUAAGAGACCCACUGUCAGGAAAGCAUGCUCUCGAAAGAAAGCCAAUGAUGUGGUCGGACUUUUUUAAUUUAAAAAAAAUUUUAGAAUUGUGGUAAAAUAUACAUAAAAUUUGUCAUCUUAAGCA